UACUUGGUGGCGCCACAGUUGCGCGUCUGACUUCAGAUCAGAAGGAUGUGUGUUCAAAUCACGUCCGGGUCA